CGGAGGAAAAGAAACCAACAGGGAUUGCCUUAGUAGCGGCGAGUGAAGCGGCAAAAGCUCAAUUUUGAAAUUCUGGCACUUUCAGUGUCCGAGUUGUAAUUUGAAGAAGGUAUCUUUGGGUCUGGCUCUUGUCUAUGUUUCUUGGAACAGAACGUCACAGAGGGUGAGAAUCCCGUGCGAUGAGAUGACCCAGACCUAUGUAAAGUUCCUUCGAAGAGUCGAGUUGUUUGGGAAUGCAGCUCUAAGUGGGUGGUAAAUUCCAUCUAAAGCUAAAUAUUGGCGAGAGACCGAUAGCGAACAAGUACAGUGAUGGAAAGAUGAAAAGAACUUUGAAAAGAGAGUGAAAAAGUACGUGAAAUUGUUGAAAGGGAAGGGCUUGAGAUCAGACUUGGUAUUUUGUAUGUUACUCUCUCGGGGGUGGCCUCUACAGUUUACCGGGCCAGCAUCACUUUGGGCGGUAGGACAAUUAAGCAAAGAAAUGUGGCACUGCCUCGGUAGUGUGUUAUAGUCUUUGUCGAUACUGCCAGCCUAGACUGAGGACUGCGGCUUCGGCCUAAGAUGUUGGCAUAAUGAUCUUAAGUCGCCCGUCUUGA
rnacentral:rRNA from 2 species